AAUCACUAAGCAGGCUAAGAGGAAUAAAUGCGAAGUGUUUAUACAACCUUCAAAAUCCAACUCAGACUUUAAGAGGAAUAUAGCAAACAUUUUUGCAUGCAGAAAAAAACAACGAACAAGAAGGUGAAAAGAACUCAAAAUAACACAAGGAAUAGACAGAAUUAAACUCAGGAAUGAGGGAUGUGAUAUCACUCCUCAAUUACCUGAAGGUAAUUUCUCCAAUUGGAGAACGUAGUAAGGCUUGUUCUGUAUAGCCCUAAAAAGUGGGAUCUACACAGAGAUAUAUUUUGGCUCAAAAUAAAGAGGAAGCCUCUUACUAUCACAGUAACCUUAAUAUGGAAUGAACCACCUCCAUUUGGAGUGAGUUCCUCAUUCCUGGAGGUGUUGAAAAUGCUGUAGAUGAGUUUCUACUUUGCUCUGAAAGGGUGUCUAUUAAAAAUAAACCUCCUGGUAUUCAUUGUGUACUUACUAUGUUCCAGGCACAUGAUUCUACUUCUCAAUCUGGGUCUACUGAAGGAGACACCAAAUUACCCAACAGAGUAAUCAGCGUAGUGCCAAAAAGGUGUACGGGCAGGGAGAGCACAGCUCCUAACUCAGCAUAGGGGUCAAGUAAAUCUUCCUGCAGGAGGUUUCCUGAGCUUGGCUUCCAAUGAUAAAGAGGAAUCAAGCAAGGAGUCAAGGGCCAGAAAACAGUUGGACUAAAAUUAGUGGCUUUCAGGCUUGCACCAUAGACCCCUAGGAUAUUCACAUGGACUCUUGAGGGGUUCCUGGGGGCAAGACUAUGUGGCUGGAGUUUUAAACAUUUCCUAUACUUCAACCAAAGCAGAUAAUUUUAAUCUAUUAUGUACCUUGGGACUCCACUUAAGAUUUUCAAAUAAGUCGCCUGCAUUUUAAAACAGAUCACAAAAAUAUUAAUUCAGUAAACCAUGUCCCAGAGAUUGUGUCUCCUAACCUGGGUAUGCUUUUUAUAGAUUAUGACUCCAUAUUGGAAGUAUGGAGGUAGUUUACUGAUGGGAAGAGGUCCCAUAGAGCCCCAGACUCAACUAGAGCCUCCUUGUUUCUGCCAUUCGGUCAUGCUGAUGGGUGCUGGCAUAAUGCAGUGAGACCAGAAGAAACUGACUUAACUUCUUCCUCUGAGGAGGAGCCUGUGGCUUUAGAAGGGAAAUAAUAACCACCCAAUAUAACCAAGAUGCUAAGCCAUAACAUGGUUUUCUGAGCCCUCACUCAUCAAGCUGGAAAAGAUGCUUCAGCACCAAGGACAGCGCUCAUAGCCGCGGCCCUGACAGAAGACGCCAACUUCACCUCCUUAAGGCCUGGUCCUGUGUCUCUCGAGGUAUAGGAAUCCUGGUUUUACACUUAGGUUUAUUUUGGUUCUAAUCUCGCUAGAAAAUCAGACUCUGCUGCACUUAAUCAUUUCUCAUUUAAUUUGAGCCAUCUCCUUUGAUUCUGAGGUAUAAUUAGCCUUAAGCAUGCUAAAUAUAAAGGUACACUACUCACCUUCAGCACGUGAUCAAUGAAAGAGAGCUGAGAAAGGGGUCCUAAUCUACAUUCUUUACUAAAUGCAAAGAAAGCAUUCAAUAAGCCACAGUUCGGGAAGUUGAUCUUUUGACGGUAAGAGGGGAGUCUGGGGGAGGGAAUGUUCUCACAGGUCAAGGUGAAAGUCCACAAUAUUGCACUAAAGAGAAAAUGAUAAAUUAUUAAUUGUCAUAAGGAGAUAGUCAUGAGUGAGUGGAAAAUUGGGGUCUUCACCCUGGGUUUCCACGGCACAACAUGAUUGGUCAGAGGCAGGGACACUCUACACCUGGCCCAUCUUGAAGUAAGGUUAGGUCAGAGGCCUGAUCUUUGGCCACCUUCAUUUCCCCAUAUCAUGGCGAGACAGUGUAUAAUAGUAUGAUGGGUGCUUGGAUCUACCCUCAAACGCUUCUCAAUGUAACACCCCUGGCCAGUCACUUUAAUUCUCCAAGCUGCAGUUUUUCAUAAGUAACAUCAAGAUAAUAUCCUCCUUCCCCAGACAAUCAUUGAAGGAUUCAAUGAGAUAAGUUGUAUAAAAGCACCCAGCACAGUGCUGGUGCAUAGUAAGUACCGAGAAAUAUUAGAUGCCGUCCUGUGUUCUUGCAAGGAAUUGAUUCUUUGCUGAGUGAAUUGAUAUGGUUUCUAAGUGGCUUAUUAAUGACUGCCCAGAAAGCAUAAGCCUCUCUCUCCAUCUGCUCAUUUUCCACAAAAGUAGACAGACAGGUUUGUGCCAGGUCCUCAGCCCCAGUUUCAUCUAAACUGGCCUUUGGCAACAUCAGCUCCACAUGCUCCAGUGAAGUCAGAAACAGGUCAGUAAGUUUUGUGUAGGGGUCCUCGAUGGCCUUUCCAAAUUGCAGAUUUCUCAAUUACAAAGGAAAUGAGCCUGAAAAAAUAUCUAUAGCUUAAUCAUUAAAUGUGCUUUUGCUGAAGACCAAAAUCCAUAGCUUUUCCUCGCUUAACUAGAAAGUGAUAGUUAAGCAUUUACAACAUUGACUAUUGGGCUCAGUCUAUUCUGCAACGAUUUGUAUUCAUCACCCACUAUAUGCCAAGUAUGUCUCCUGGAGGCCUCAGGCCUUUGUCUGGUAUAAUACUCCUUGUUCUUAGAGACUCAUCUAAAGUAUCUUCAACUUGUUUAAAGGUGGAACACUUUGGGGAAAAGGUGAGGCAAAGAAUGGAAAGCGGUAAUGUCAUAAUACGAAUGUCAUAACACAUUUUAGAAAACACUGUCCUAGACUCGCUUGCAGAAGUUUGUACCUUACAAUUUAAGAAUCAGAAAGAGGAAGCAAAGCAAUGACAAAGGGCACAAACAUUGUCAAAAAUAUACUGUCCCAAGGAAAGAGGGCAUUUGGGGCCUUGAGGAAUUGGGUAAUACAUCCCAACCAUCCCUACUCUGAUAGAAUAACAAAACAGAGGCCCUUCUGUCCUAGCAGGCUGCAAUCAGAAAACUGGGAUUUUUCUGCCCAUGUGUCUGGUGUUUCACUUGCAUCAGUGCCCCCUGGAAAUGCAAACUGAGAGCACUUGGCCAGUCUCUGUCAGCCACUCAGGAAGCCCAGUUGCCCUACAGCCUCCUCAUCAGGAAAGUGCCUCCUGAGGCAUUUAUAAUACUCUGAGAAGCAUCCCUAAAAUUAUUCAUUGCUGUCCAGAGGUGAUGUUUGAGAUGGGAAACUCAGGCGUGGAAGUCUGGCCAUGGCAUACCUGUAUUUGUCAUUGCCUGCCAUGUAGUCCAUCCUCAUCAUCAGACUCUACUCAUCUACCCUGCUGGUCUCUUGCUCUUUAUGGGCCAAUUGUAUUUGUAUCCUCCAGGCAAAGUCCUACUGUGAAGCAUAUAUGGGCUUAGCUCAUGACCAUAAUUUUUUGUAGAGUAGACCUUAAUUUCUGGCCACCUCAGAGCUUUGGCACCCUUUAAACAGAUCUCUCCUGGAUCAAGGGCUGAUCUUUGAUCCAAUUAGCAACCACUCUGGUUCUGUGAGCCAGGGGUUAGGGCAGAGGACCACUAGCUAGAGGCUUCUGGCCAUGCAGACACCAAGAAGGACAUGUUCAAGACAAAUCCCCUCUGGUAGCAUUUGCUGGGUAGACUGAUAGGAAUAAUGUUGGCAAAAUUACUGCAUGAGUCUUUCACAGAAAUGCAGAAUGGAGCGUCCACAUGACACCCUUCUGUCUCAGAGCCCUAUAUUGUGUUCACACACACAGAGUAGAGCUUAAGUGCGUGGAUUUUAGAAUAGACUGUUUAUUUCUCUGCACUAAUAUUUGUUCCAUGUACAACCUAGAGCAAGUUACUUAACCUCUCUGUGACUCAAUCUUCUCAUCUUCAAAAUGGAAGUAAAAAUUAAAUCAAUUAAAUUUGUUAACUAUUUGCAAAACACUUAGAACUGUGCCAGGCACUUAAUAAAAUAGCUAUCAUUACUCUCUUAGAAAACAUACAUGGAGAAUCUCUGGUGUGUCCUCUGCCCACCCAGGACUCAAACCAAACGUAGGAGGUGUUAAGUGCUUGGAAACCACUUCGUUAAAAGAACCAAAUUCAGAAAGGCAAGUGUUAGCCUGCAGACACUGUGCCAUAUUUGAUGAGGCUUGUGGGUGUACCAAGGCCAGAGGACUUAGCUCGGAAAGGAUGAGUCAUCCAUGGUGGAUGAGACAUGAAGAGCAAAUUAUCAUCCUCAGCCCAGAUCCAGUUGAACUGCCAGAAGCAGCAAGUAAUUCUUGGCUUAUCCCAAGCAGUAAUAUAGAGUAAUCAUAUGUCCAUUUGGCUCUAUCUCCAAAUAGAUCUUUUGACCACUUUUAUGUUUCUGCACAGCCCCCUCCCUGGUCCCAUCCUUCAUCCUCUUUGAUCUGGGCUAUUAUCUCUGUCUUCUCACUCAUUCAUAUUUCCUCCACAGGUCCUCCACAUGCGGUACCAGAGUGACACUUAUUUAAGACAUUUAAAUAAGAUCAGGUUCCUCCCUCACCCUCCAAGGUGCGGUCACCAGGUCCUUGUCCACAGUUUAGUACUUCUCUCUCCUGCCUUUUUCCCAGACUUCCUGCCCUUGGGUGAACCAGCUGCCAUAUUAUUAGGACUCUCAAGCAGCCCUAUGGAGAUGCACAGAAGAAACUGAGGCCUCCUGCCAACAGCCAUGUGAGUAAGCCAGCUUGAAAGCAGAUCCUCCAGCCCCAGUCAAGACUUCAGAUGACUGCAGUCCCAGCUGACAGCAUGACUGCAACUCAUGAGAGGAUCCAAGCCAGAACUAACUAAGCUGCUCCCAAAUUUCUGACCCAUAGAAACUGUAUGAGAUAAUAAAUGUUCACUGUUGC
rnacentral:lncRNA from 1 species